UCCAACACCUACGUGAGCCGGCGGAUCCUCAACUGCAGGAGCGAUGGUACACCUACCUAUCCUUUUGCUUUAUUGCUUCCUACAGAAUCACAGCUGAUAAAUGGCAUAUUAUCCUGGAUAACUGGGUAAUUAAAUAUUCACCAGGAUAUGCUUUGAAAUGAAAAGAUACAAAAAGUGCAAUCACCUAAUGGGUAAAUAAAUGUUCACGUCAAGAUACUAGUAUAUUUGUACACGGAAGCCAAGUAAUACUUACAGGAGGUCCGGGAAGACCCUGAAGACCAGUGAAGCCUCUGUGGCCCUUCUGACCUCGGUCACCUCGGUCUCCAUGAUCACCUUUGUCACCUCGAGGUCCUUGGGGUCCCUAGAAAGAGGGUCAUGGCGUGGAUAUUGCUUGGUGAGACUAUAAUUUACUACAGUUUUAAUUUUUACAGUUGUAUUUACUACAAUUGUGAACACCGUACAAGGAUUCCUUAUCCAUGGGGGACACGUCCCACGAUCCGCAGUGGAAGCCUGAACGCUAUAAGCAUUACAUUUUUCCUAUACAUACAUAUCUCAGAGUGAGGUUUAUAAAUUAGGCACGAAUUAAGAGAUUAACAAUCAUGAAUAAUAAAAUAGAACAAUUAUAACAAUAUAAUAAUGUGAAUGUGGCCGCUCUCUCUCUCUCUCUCUGUCUUCCUGUACUGUUCUCACCUUUCUUCUGGUGAGGAUGUGAUAUUUGAUAAAAUGCCUACGUGAUGAGAUGAAGCGAGGUGAAUGACGCAGGCGUUGUGACGGAGUGUCUGGCUACUACUGACCUUCUGAUGACAUGUCAGGAGGAGGAUCGUUUGCUUCCUGACUGCUGUUAACCACAGAGUCCUUGAUCCAGGGUGCGUGUACGAUUAAGUCCAGGCUCACAUGUAGCUCCCUGAGGUGUAACUGUCGGUAUGAAACUGGGUCUCCUUACCGGAUCUCCUCUUUGUCCUGCAUCUCCUGGAGCACCGACAGGGCCCGGGGUUCCAGGGGCACCCUGAGAGCCCGGCAGACCUGCAGGUCCCGGGUCUCCACGAUCACCCUGAAGAGAAUAACCAUGGGAUUAUUCUUUUCAUAUUUAUCAUCAAACAGCGGCAUUCUAUACCCUCAUGCUAUUCGCGAACACAUCAAAAUACUGCCACUUACGGGAUUGCCACGGGAGCCAGGAGGGCCAACUAAACCUCGAGGGCCAGGUUCACCCUAGAAAGCAGAUGUUAGAUGGUUAUUGUCCAAAGCGGGAGCAGAAUAUAAUGCAACUGGAGGACCCUGAGCACGAAGAGCAGGGCAGACAGGGGAGAGAGCGCUGAGACGACCUGGCCCAACCACCACACUUUAUGAAACAGAGAACACUAUGUGGAAGAGCUAUCAUACAGACUUCCUGAUCCUGAGCCCACAAAAUAGGAAAUUUACGAUACUACCUUUUCUCCAGUGGGACCUGCAGGACCUGGAGGACCCAAGGGGCCGGGAAGACCCUGUCAAUGAACAGAACACAGGCACACUGAAGACGGGAAUGCAUGGAAUGCUCCAUGAUUAAA